rnacentral:rRNA from 1 species
CCUACGGGGGGCUGCAGUGAGGAAUAUUGGGCAAUGCCCGCAAGGGUGACCCAGCAACGCCGCGUGGAGGAUGAAGGCCGUAAGGUUGUAAACUCCUGUUAGAGGAGAAGAAUAGUACCGAUUGGAUCGGUAUUUGACUGUACCCUCAGAGAAAGCCCCGGCUAACUACGUGCCAGCAGCCGCGGUCAUACGUAGGGGGCAAGCGUUGUCCGGAUUUACUGGCGCGAAGGGGCGCGCGGAAGUCAGAGCAGAAAGCCUACAGCUUAACGGUAGAACUGCCUUUGAUACUGUUAUGCUUGAGUUCGGGAGAGAGAGACGGAAUUCCAGGUGUAGUGGUGAAAUACGUAGAUAUCUGGAAGAACACCAGUUGCGAAGGCGGUCUCUUGGUCCGAUACUGACGCUGAGGCGCGAAAGCGUGGGGAGCAAACAGGAUUAGAUACCCGUGUAGUC